rnacentral:lncRNA from 10 species
AGGUUAUAUUUUGGCCCUUCCAUUUAUUAAUUGGUUAACUUUGGAUACAUGACUUCCUCCUUUUUAGCUCAGUUUCUUCAUUUUUUUGUAACUGAAGACAAACUUUGUCCCCUCUACAAUUUUGACUGUAGGGCCAAGUUUUACUAACUGAGAGACCUCAACACCUAUCCACAGAUGUUUAAACAAAGUGCAGGAUACAUCUUUCCAGCCCCAUCUCUUUACACGUUUCACCUUGCAGACCUAUGGAGCAGACCUAACUCAGGCAUGGUGUUUAAGCUAGUUUCUCUCUCAUGCUGAAAACACAACAUGAGUUUCCUUUCUGUUCCUUCCCUGAAAGUAC